rnacentral:rRNA from 1 species
UACAGAGGUCCCGAGCGUUGUUCGGAUUCACUGGGCGUAAAGGGUGCGUAGGUGGCUUGAAAAGUUUGAUGUGAAAGCUCAGGGCUUAACCCUGAAAUGGCAUUGAAUACUGCCGGACUAGAGUUCGGAAGAGGCGAGUGGAAUUCCCGGUGUAGCGGUGAAAUGCGCAGAUAUCGGGAAGAACACCCGUGGCGAAGGCGGUUCUCUGGGACGGUACUGACGCUGAGACGCGAAAGCGUGGGGAGCGAACAGG